rnacentral:rRNA from 1 species
AGAACGAACGCUGGCGGCAUGCCUAACACAUGCAAGUCGAACGCUCACCGGGCUUCGGUUCGGUGGGAGUGGCGCACGGGUGAGUAGCGCGUGGGAACCUGCCCUGUUGUGGGGGAUAACCGAGGGAAACUUCGGCUAAUACCGCAUGCGCCCGGGGAAACCCGGGGAAAGAUUUAUCGCAGCAGGAGGGGCCCGCGUCGGAUUAGGUAGUUGGUAGGGUAACGGCCUACCAAGCCUUUGAUCCGUAGCUGGUCUGAGAGGAUGAUCAGCCACACUGGGACUGAGACACGGCCCAGACUCCUACGGGAGGCAGCAGUGGGGAAUAUUGGACAAUGGGCGCAAGCCUGAUCCAGCAAUGCCGCGUGAGUGAUGAAGGCCUUAGGGUUGUAAAGCUCUUUCAGUACCGACGAAGCGCAAGUGACGGUAGGUACAGAAGAGCACCGGCCAACUCGCGCCAGCAGCCGAC